CCUACGGGGGGCUGCAGUGGGGAAUCUUGCGCAAUGGGCGAAAGCCUGACGCAGCGACGCCGCGUGAGCGAUGAAGGCCUUCGGGUUGUAAAGCUCUGUGGGGAGAGAAGAAUAAGGGUUGGCUAACAUCCAACCUGAUGACGGUAUCUCCUUAGCAAGCACCGGCUAACUCUGUGCCAGCAGCCGCGGUAAGACAGAGGGGGCAACACUUGUCCGGAAUCACUGGGCGUAAAGCGCGCAAGGCGGACGUGAAAUCCCACGGCUCAACCAUGGAAGUGCAUUCGAAACUGCCAGACUAGAGUCCUGGAGAGGAAGGCGGAAUACUCGGUGUAGAGGUGAAAUUCGUAGAUAUCGAGUGGAACACCGGUGGCGAAGGCGGCCUUCUGGACAGUGACUGACGCUGAAACGCGAAAGCGUGGGGAGCAAACAGGAUUAGAUACCCUGGUAGUC
rnacentral:rRNA from 1 species